CAGGACUUGUUUGUUUACGUUUUUUUAAACGAUGACGUCUUUAGACGAAAGAGCAGUGCUGAAGCUCUGCAGGCAUUAGUUACGCCUGAAAUUUUCGAAGGAAUUGCUAUACGCAGCUUGAAGAAUACCAAAGGGAGAAACAACGAAUAAUCGAUCGACGAGUAAGAAUAAGCCAGGGGAAAUCUGGUGCUAGCAGGCUUGCUGGUCCACCUGAGCUGGCCUCAGGAGCGAGAGUUCUCAAGAGAUGCUCAAAAGAAGUAUCCAUCUUAAUAUGGUCCAUACCAAGUACUUGGAACGGAAGACCCAAAAUCCCAAGAAGUCAGACAGUGGAAAUCCUAGCAAUUAGACUAAGCGAUUAAAUAGUCUUCAUGACAAGCAUCAUGUGCUGUUGUUAUUGAAUAAUCAUUGCCAUUCCAUUAUCUUAUUUGAUUUGUGUGAAAACCAAACAGUUUUCGUGCAGUGUCAAAUGGUGUAAGUUAUAUAAUGAAGAUGCUGAAAUCUCAGAUACCCAAAAAAGGCGCAUAUUGACAAAAUAAAUUUGAUCGUCACAAAUCAAUGAGAAGGGUGUUAUCGUGACACAACCACAUUUAGAUAGUAGUAUAUUUCCGUAACACACACUUGGUUCAAGUUCCUUUGAUCGAACGAUGUGUUCAUUGAUGCACAGAUGUUAAUUCUACGAUAUAAGUAAGCAAUUGUUCAAAAACCAGAACGAGAUGCCCAUGUUUGUUUGCUUCUCCACCCGCUGAAUCUCCGUUCGCACAAUGGGAAGAUUUCACGGAUGAGUUUACGGAAAAGAAGAAGAACUAUUGGACGAAUUGGUGA